GUCACUUUUACUGACAUCAAACGAUUGAUCAGCAAUGCUGCAAAGAACGAAGUUGCAGUGAACCCCACCAACACAGUUUUUGAUGUCAAAUGCCUGAUCGGACAUAAAGUCGAUGAUGCUCUUGUCCAAUCUGAUAUGGAGCAUUGGCUCUUCAUGGUGGGGACUGAUGCUGGCAGGCCCAAGGUCUAAGUAAAAUACAAGGGAAAGAAGAGGUGUCCUCUGUGGUUUUGACAAAGAUGAAGGAAAUCACAGGGGCUUAGACAGAAAGGUUGGCGCUGAAAGGAAUGUGCUCAUCUUUGACGUAGGAGGUGGCACUUUUGAUGUCUCAAUCCCCACCAUUGAAAUGGGAUAUUUAAGGUCAAAUCUACAGCUGGAGACACCCACUUAGGUGUAGAAGACUUUGACAACCGAAUGGUCAACCAUUUUAUUGUGAAGUUCAAGUGCAAACAUAAGAAGGACAUCCACAAGAACAAGAGGGCAGUCCAUCACCUCCAGACUGCUUACGAGUGUGCUAAGCAUACAUUGUCUUCCAGCAACGAGGCCAGUAUUGAGAUUGAUGCUCUGUAUGAAGGAAUUGACUUCCAUACCUCUAUGACUUGUCCCCGAUUUGAAGAAUUAAAUGCUGACCUGUUCUGUGGCACCCUGGACCUUAUAGAGAAAGCCCUUUGGGAUGCCAAGCUACACAAGUGUCAGAUCAAUAAUAUUGUCCUGGUGGGUGGUUCUAUCCAUAUCCCCAAGAUUCAGAAACUUCUGCAAGACUUCUUCAAUGGAAAGGAACUGAACAAGAGCAUCAGCCCUGAUGAGGCUGUUGCUUAUGGUGCAGCUGUCCAGACAGCCAUCCCUUCUGGAGACAAGUCUGAAAAUGUUCAGGAUUCCCUGCUGUUGGAUGUCACUCCUCUUUCUCUUGGCUUUGAAACUGCUGGAGGAGUCAUGACUGUCCUCACCAAGUGCAAUACUACCAUUCCUACCAAACAGAUGCAGACCUUCCCUACCUACUCUGACAACCAGCCUGGUGUGCUCGUUCAGGUUUAUGAAGGUGAGCGUGCCAUAACCAACCACCACCACCUACUUGGCAAGUUUGAACUCAUAGGCAUACCUCCUGCCCCCCGUGGUGCUCCUUCUGUUGAAGUCACCUUUGAUAUUGAUGCUAAUGGCAUCCUCAGUGUCUCUUCUAUGGAUAAGAGCUCAGGAAUAAAACUGAAAUAAAUAAAAUAAUAAUAAAAUAUAAAAAUAAAAGAAAUAAAACUGAAUUUAAAAUUGGCACCAGAAAAUUAAAUAAAUAGGCACAAAAUCCCUGUGCUUAUUGCUUUCACAUAGGCCAAAACAUUAAAUACAAUAAAAACUAAAAACAACCGCUAUAAAACGCUGGUUCAUUUAGUGUGACUGAUGAUACUCUUUGCUACAGUUUAAUCACUGAUCACUUUGUGAAUUGGAUAAUGAAUGCUGACACAACUUCUUCUUUUUUUUUUUUUUAUUUGACAGAGGCACAGUGAGAGAGGGAACACAAGCAGGGGGAGUGGGAGAGGGAGAAGCAGGC